UUUCCGGUUGAUCCUGCCGGAGGCCACUGCUAUCGGGGUUCGAUUUAGCCAUGCGAGUCGAGAGGGUUUAGACCCUCGGCGGACUGCUCAGUAACACGUGGAUAACCUGCCCUAAGGUGGAGGAUAACCCCGGGAAACUGGGGAUAAUACUCCAUAGAUUAGAGAUACUGGAAUGUUCUUUAGUCAAAAGUUCUGGCGCCUUAGGAUGGAUCUGCGGUCGAUUAGGUUGUUGUUGGGGUAACGGCCCAACAAGCCUGUAAUCGAUACGGGUUGUGGGAGCAAUAGCCCGGAGAUGGAAUCUGAGACAAGAUUCCAGGCCCUACGGGGCGCAGCAGGCGCGAAAACUUUACAAUGCAGGAAACUGUGAUAAGGGAACCCCGAGUGCCCGUAUACGCGGGCUGUCCAGGUGUUUAAAAGUCAUCUGAAGAAAGGGCCGGGCAAGACCGGUGCCAGCCGCCGCGGUAAUACCGGCGGCUCGAGUGGUGGCCACUAUUAUUGGGCUUAAAGCGUCCGUAGCUGGACUGAUAAGUCUCUUGGGAAAUCCGCCGGCUCAACCGGCGGGCGUCUAAGGGAUACUGUUGGUCUAGGGACCGGGAGAGGUGAGAGGUACUCCGGGGGUAGGAGUGAAAUCCUGUAAUCCCCGGGGGACCACCGAUGGCGAAGGCAUCUCACCAGAACGGCUCCGACAGUGAGGGACGAAAGCUGGGGGGAGCAAACCGGAUUAAAUACCCGGGUAGUCCCACCCGUAAACUAUGCGCGUUAGGUGUGCUGGUGACCACGUGUCACCGGGGUGCCGAGGG
rnacentral:rRNA from 1 species